rnacentral:sRNA from 1 species
AAUAUAUUCGUGAAUGGGCUAGGUUCCAUUCAUCUUCCCAAUGAAUAACUGUUUAAUAUUUUUAAAACAGGUUCAUAAUUACAAGAGCUGUAUUACUAUAGAUUUUGAUUUAUUGUUAUGUUUUCAGUAUCGUUUUCACCAAAUUGCCUCCGAUUCCCUCUAUCAUAUUCUUAUACAUAUAUAUAACUAUUGUUUUGAUUGUAUGAUCAAUUGGAAAUUGCUUUGUACAUAUACAUAAGAAUGCAUAUACAUAUAUGCAUUAUGUUGUUUAUUUGUUAUAAAUCCUACUGUAUUCUUAGAUACAAGUAAAUAUGUUAA